AAUGAACGUUGGCGGCAUGGAUUAGGCAUGCAAGUCGAGCGCGAAGAGUCAUUUGCUUGCAUUUGACUCUGAAAGCGGCGUAAGGGUGAGUAACGCGUAGUUACCUACCUCCGGGUCCGGAAUAGCUGCGGGAAACUGCAGGUAAUGCCGGAUAACAUCUCAGGAUCAAAGGUGAGAUUCCGCCCGGAGAGGGGACUGCGUCCUACUAGCUUGUUGGUGGGGUAAUGGCCUACCAAGGCUUCGAUGGGUAGCGGGCGUGAGAGCGUGGCCCGUCACACUGGGACUGAGACACUGCCCAGACACCUACGGGUGGCUGCAGUCGAGAAUCUUCGGCAAUGGGCGAAAGCCUGACCGAGCAAUGCCGCGUGCGGGAUGAAGGCCCUCGGGUUGUAAACCGCGAAAGUAAGGAGGAAGGACCUGCGAAGAGCAGGUUUUGACCGAUCUACAGUAAGGACGGGCUAAGUUCGUGCCAGCAGCCGCAGUAA
rnacentral:rRNA from 1 species